rnacentral:misc_RNA from 1 species
AUAAUCUUAAUAAAUUUAGUGUUAGAUCGACUUUCAUUGGGUUUGGUUUCCCUCAUAACCUUCCCUCACAUGUCGUCUCUCACUCAACCAUAGACUGUCCCAUACAGUUUUUUGGUCCUUCGAGCCGGAUAUGAACCAGCGACCUAUGGAUUACUUUCUACAAGACAACAGUCUUUCUUCGAGGAUUCACACAGACAGGACCAUACAGUUUUUUUGUCCUUCGAGAAUACAGCCUUGCUGCUGACAAGCUGCGCAGUCAUUCUGAACCUGCAAGCUACAAGACAACAGUCUUACUUCGAGGAUACAUACAGUCGUUUUGAUCCUUCGAGAAAAAUAAAUAAAUAAAUAUUUCUUCGAGAAAUCACUCAAGAAAACAGUCAAUCAAGACUAUAAACUCUACGGAUUUCCAUCGACAUUUGGAGAAUCCAGAUACAGUGGCCACAACACUCACGUGGAAUUUGUGUGACUGCGAAUCGGUUGACUGGCUUCCCAGAAGCGGGUUCCACCAGUUAAAUUGAGAAGGCGCAAACAAGGUCGCACUAUCCACUGAGAGACUGGCCUGGACCUCUGAAGACGGUCCUAUCAAUUAUACAUCAACGUCAGCAUUAAAAAAUGAUGAAAAUGGAGGGAUCACUUCAAAUUUCAAAUGCCACUAAGACCUCAACGACGGAUCGAGGUCAGGCAACAGAAUUGAUGUCACUCCAAAGAACAAACUUCCGAGCUUUUCAUCGACAAAUAAAUCGCUUGAAAGUAGAUGAAAUCCAAGACAAAUGGGAGCUGGAAGACGAGUUACGCAACAU